AUGGCCAGUUGGGGAUGUUCAGUUCCAUCACACUGCGAGGAGAUGAUUCAUGGCCGGUCGGGGAUGGUCACCUGCGGUGAGCACGAGUACCUCCUCCAUAUCCUCCCUAUACUAGCACCCUUGGCGAUGAAAAUGACAGCCAGGAGAAUCCCUCCUUCACACCUCUUUUCCAUCUCUGCCAGAUUGUCCUCUCCCGCAAGCCCGAAGGCCAACCUUAAUACUGGACCUCGAGAGGGGCAUCUGGCCAACCAUGCCGGAGGAUGCAGAGGAGUUGUUUGGGAAUGUUAUCAUCAAAGGACCCAAGAAGUAGCCCACCAAGGAUGCAUGGAUCAACCACGCAAGUCCAUUCUUGCAAUCCAUCUGUGGCAAGGGUUCAUGACAGACAAGCCAAUAGAUUUGGGGGUCCACUUCCCGGUGAAACAAAUGUUCAUUGCGGACAAUACGAAGACGACGAUUGCCAUGAAGGCUGCAAGGUUGCACCUUGGAGCUCAAAAUUUGGUGUCUUCGCAUUGA
rnacentral:rRNA from 1 species